rnacentral:misc_RNA from 1 species
AAGUCGUAACAAGGUUUCCGUAGGUGAACCUGCGGAAGGAUCAUUACCGUGCCGUGGCAGCCGGCCCACAAAGCCUGGCUGUUUCACCUGGCCACCCGUGUCUACUUUACCUGUUGCUUCGGCGGGCCUGCUCGCUGCCGGGGGACCCUGCAGGGUUCCCAGGCUCGUGCCCGCCGAGGACCAUGAAAUUCUUGUUCAAGAUUGGCGUCUGAGUGAUUAAGAAAUCAGUUAAAACUUUCAACAACGGAUCUCUUGGUUCCCA